rnacentral:rRNA from 1 species
UACGGAGGGUGCAAGCGUUAUCCGGAUUCACUGGGUUUAAAGGGUGCGUAGGCGGGCUAGUAAGUCCGUGGUGAAAUCCCCGAGCUUAACUCGGGAACUGCCGUGGAUACUAUUAGUCUUGAAUAUCGUGGAGGUAAGCGGAAUAUGUCAUGUAGCGGUGAAAUGCUUAGAUAUGACAUAGAACACCGAUAGCGGAGGCAGCUUACUACGCGAUUAUUGACGCUGAGGCACGAAAGCGUGGGGAGCAAACAGG